rnacentral:lncRNA from 1 species
CCAACAUAUAAAUUCAAAAAUAGAAGUUAUACCUCCAUUGUGUUAUCUAUAAAAAUAUUUGCAAUUAAUUCUAUGCACAUAUUUGAUCACAAGGAAAACCUCAAAAAAUAAAAACAAUUAAAAUAGCAAUCAGAAGAAAUGUAACAGAGAUCUUUUUCUAGAACAAUAAAAAAAGCAAAAUUUCAAAAUCAGAAUUUCUAGAAAAUAAAGAUACUAUGGCCAUGUUAAAAUAUAUGGAAUGUUGCAAAAAUAAUACUUAGAAGAAAAUAUUUCACAUUAAAUAUUGGUAUC